rnacentral:rRNA from 1 species
GAUGAACGCUGGCGGCGUGCCUAACACAUGCAAGUCGAACGGAGAUUACGGACGGAAGUUUUCGGAUGGAAGACUGUAAUUCUUAGUGGCGGACGGGUGAGUAACGCGUGGGCAACCUGCCCUAUACAGGGGGAUAGCAGCUGGAAACGGCUGGUAAGACCGCAUAAGUCGGCGAGACCGCAUGGUUUUGCCGGGAAAUGAGCAAUCAGGUAUAGGAUGGGCCCGCGUCCGAUUAGCCAGUUGGCAGGGUAAAAGCCUACCAAAGCAACGAUCGGUAGCCGGACUGAGAGGUCGGACGGCCACAUUGGGACUGAGACACGGCCCAAACUCCUACGGGAGGCAGCAGUAGGGGAUAUUGCACAAUGGAGGAAACUCUGAUGCAGCGACGCCGCGUGAGUGAAGAAGUAUUUCGGUAUGUAAAGCUCUAUCAGCAGGGAAGAUGAUGACGGUACCUGACUAAGAAGCCCCGGCUAACUACGUG